UCAAACUUGGUCAUUUAGAGGAAGUAAAAGUCGUAACAAGGUUUCCGUAGGUGAACCUGCGGAAGGAUCAUUACAGAGAAACUUGCCCCUUGAGGGUAGAUCUCCCACCCUUUGUUUACAAUACCUCUGUUGCUUUGGCAGGUCCGUCUUCUGACCACCGGCUUCGGCUGGUCCGCACCUGCCAGAGGACCCUCCAACUCUUCUGAUUUUAUGUUGUCAGAGAUUAUAUAACAAUAGUUAAAACUUUCAACAACGGAUCUCUUGGUUCUGGCAUCGAUGAAGAACGCAGC
rnacentral:misc_RNA from 1 species